UUAAAAUUCAAAACUUCUGUGGCUUCGAGGAAUUAAUUUAAUAAGUAAAAUAUAUAGCCCAAAGUUUAGGCGGUAGAAGAUAUGAGGAUAAAUAUAGCCCAAAAUAUAUAGCCGACAGCAACAACUGAGGUGCACCGAACAAUAACCAAUGAGAACCGACCAACAGCCGACGGGAACCGAACAAGAACCAAUAUGAAAACCGACCAAGACCGAUGAAAACCGAGUAAGAACCGAUUUGGCACCGACGAUGAACCGAUGGGUGACAAGUACUGGGAAAUGGACCAUUCAUGGUAAGCUGCUGUGUCGUCUGUGGCCGCAGCUUCAUGGAUUGUCAAUAUUUAGUGAGUUGAAGUCAUGCAGGAGAGAGUAAGAGCGCAGCCGAAGCUUUGAAGCAAGCUGGGUUAGUGUAAGGCCUCGACCAACAACCGAUGAAACCGAUCAAAAACAGUCAGAGACCGAUUAAAACCGAUCCAGACCGAUCAAAAACCGACUAGAACCGAUCAAGACCGAUAAAAAACCGACUAGAACCGAUGGAACGGAGCAAGAACCAAUCGAAACCGACUGUCCAGACGGUUUCUGAGAAAUGGACAUACUGUUACGCAAACUACUGUGUGGUCUCUGACCGCAGCCACCCUGUUAUCUUCCUUGCCUUGAAUUGUCGGUAAUUGAGUUUGUUGAAGUGUUGAAGCAAGCUGGGUUAGUGUAGGAGAUGGGAAUGUCAUCAUAUGUGACUUGUGAUAAGAUCGAACAGGCUAGUUGAUGAUGGUGGCAGAUGCUCAAAGGAUGAACGUUCUUGUUGAAAGCAAGCUAGGAGUGUAGAGGCAGGAGAUCGAGUGUGUCCAUGUGAAUCACUGGAUAUGAUCACCAAUAUGAACAGAAUGCACAAGAAUUUGAUAAUUUUUUAUAGAGAUUUUCAUGCAUUUUCCCCAUCAGGGGUGAUUGUGCACAAAGACUGCCUCAAAACUCGCGGUUUCUGCUCUCAGGCACCCAUCAAGCACAACCGAUCUUCCAAAGAGGCUGAGCCACCCUGAGCAAUGAAUAGAGUCAUUGUGUGCAAGGUAUCUCCUGCGACUAUCACUGUUCCCACCUGAAAGUAUGUCCCUAGUAUGUCCACAUGGCACUUUGUCUAACCAAUAUUGUUCCUCUUUCUGAAGCUAUAGUCUCAUCCAGGCUUGGAUAAAAGACCUACGUCACAUUUUUGCGGAGACUUCCAACUAAUUAGUCAUUAAUUAUGUUAUGUCAAUGUAACAUUAAUUCUUUGGAGCUGAGAAUCAUCAUUCAUGAUAUAUAUAAGAUGCGUAGCCAGUUCUUUCUCCUCUAUUGCUUUCAACCACAUCUUUCAGCAAGCAAACUUUUACGCUAAUGUUGUAGCCAAUUUGGGUCACUCCAUCUCGAAUGAGCAAACUUGGGAAGGAAGACUUCCGCCAAAUGUGCUGGGUGAUUUCGGUGUCAACCAGUUUAAUUGUGUCUGGUUGCCUGGCCUCGCUUUUGUAUUUAGUUUCUCUGUGUUAAGUCUUUUCUUAUCAGAAAAUAAAAAUGACAGAAACAAAUCAAAAGGAUUGGUAUUGAGAUUGUAGUCGAGACUCCAAACUUUUAGUCCAUUGAAAUAAUAAUCCAAACAGCUCAGCCUUAUUUCCUAAACGCUCUCACGAUCUCAGGGUCCUGCCCCAUGUGAAAGAAUUGGGGAAAGAAUGGGCCCUAUUUCUGAAGUGUUGAAAGAAGCUGGGUUAGUAGGAGAUCGGAAAUGCCAUCACAGGCGACUUUUG